CUACACAAUAGAUCGUACUCAAGGGUGGUCGGCAUCCCCGGUAGAAGGGGGGUGAUAAGAUGACAGUAUUCGAGGCACUAAGUCUGAUGUUGACAUUUGGGACUUUAGUAGUGAUGCUGUCUUCUAGUAGGAAAAAGUAGACCUCCCUUGAGCUUCGCAGCCGGGAGGUCUACAGGCGGGUACUAUGAGCCGACUCCCCGAAAGGAACGACUAUUGUAGCUUAGGGCCGCAAGGGUGUAGCAGCACUCUGCGG
rnacentral:sRNA from 1 species